UACGAAGGGGGCUAGCGUUGUUCGGAUUAACUGGGCGUAAAGGGUGCGUAGGCGGGUUUUUAAGUCAGGGGUGAAAUCCCGAGGCUCAACCUCGGAACUGCCUUUGAUACUGGAAAUCUUGAGUCUGGGAGAGGUGAGUGGAACUGCGAGUGUAGAGGUGAAAUUCGUAGAUAUUCGCAAGAACACCGGUGGCGAAGGCGGCUACACUGGCCCCGGAACUG
rnacentral:rRNA from 1 species